rnacentral:rRNA from 1 species
GUGAGGAAUUUUCCGCAAUGGGCGAAAGCCUGACGGAGCAAUGCCGCGUGAAGGAUGAAGGCCUAUGGGUUGUAAACUUCUUUUCUCAGAAAAGAAUUAUGACGGUAUCUGAGGAAUAAGCAUCGACUAACUCUGUGCCAGCAGCCGCGGUAAGACAGAGGAUGCAAGCGUUAUCCGGAAUGAUUGGGCGUAAAGCGUCUGUAGGUUGUUUAAAAAGUAUUCUGUCAAAGAUUAGGGCUUAACCCUAGAUAGGAAGAAUAAACUUUUAAGCUAGAGUUUGGUAGAGGCAGAGGGAAUUCCCGGUGGAGCGGUGAAAUGCGUAGAUAUCGGGAGGAACACCAAAGGCGAAGGCACGCUGCUGGGCCAAUACUAACACUGAGAGACGAAAGCGAGGGGAGCAAAUGGGAUUAGAUACCCUAGUAGUCC